GUGGUAACAACGCAUCCGACGCGGGAUAAUGCAUGCGAUUGGGUCUCGAGUGCGUUCGCGUGCUCGCUACAUUAAUCUUCCUUGGAAGAUAAGGACGGUGCAUUCCCCAGGCAGUAGCUAGCAAUUCGUACGAGCUCUGUUUCCCAGUCAUCAGUCAGAACAAAGAAUGACUAUACAUCCCGUUCAGCUUCUGAGCAUUCGCGUUGUUCCCCUUUAAUCUCUAACUUUAACUUUAGUACGCCAGUUCCGAAAAAUUCACUCGUUUGUUUAAAUAAAGAGGCAUCUAUAAACGAUAAUCUUCACGAUCUUAUCGAUUGCAAAAAAAAAAA